AUACGUAGGGUGCAAGCGUUAAUCGGAAUUACUGGGCGUAAAGCGUGCGCAGGCGGUUUUGUAAGGCAGAAGUGAAAUCCCCGGGCUCAACCCGGGAACUGCCUUUGUGACUGGAAGGCUAGAGUACGGCAGAGGGGGGUGGAAUUCCGCGGGUAACAGGGAAAUGCGUAGAUAUGCGGAGGAAAACCGAUGGCGAAGGCAAUCCCCUGGGCCUGUACUGACGCUCAUGCACGAAAGCGUGGGGAGCAAACAGGAUUAGAUACCCUGGUAGUCCACGCCCUAAACGAUGUCAACUGGUUGUUGGGUCUUCAUUGACUCAGUAACGAAGCUAACGCGUGAAGUUGACCGCCUGGGGAGUACGGCCGCAAGGUUGAAACUCAAAUGAAUUGACGGGG
rnacentral:rRNA from 1 species